rnacentral:ncRNA from 1 species
UUGGCAAAAUCAGGGAAAUCUGGUGACGCAAAGCCAAAGGGCCUAAUCUAUCAUAGAUGGGAUGGCAGCCGGUUGC